UAUGUUUAAGUGUUAAUGCACAAAGAAUUUUGAUUUCUUUAGUUAUAGAAUUUUCUAUAAGACAUAG
rnacentral:tRNA from 1 species